GAUGAACGCUGGCGGUAUGCUUAACACAUGCAAGUCGAACGGGAUUCUUCGGAAUCUAGUGGCGGACGGGUGAGUAACGCGUGAGAAUCUGCCUUCAGGUCGGGGACAACAUUUGGAAACGAAUGCUAAUACCCGAUGUGCCGAGAGGUGAAAGGUUAACUGCCUGAAGAUGAGCUCGCGUCCGAUUAGCUAGUUGGUGGGGUAAGAGCCUACCAAGGCGACGAUCGGUAGCUGGUUUGAGAGGACAAUC
rnacentral:rRNA from 1 species